rnacentral:rRNA from 1 species
AUUCCUACGGGAGGCAGCAGUGGGGAAUUUUGCACAAUGGGGGCAACCCUGAUGCAGCGACGCCGCGUGAUUUGGAAGGCCUUCGGGUUGUAAAAAUCUUUUGUAUGGGAAGAAAAUGACAGUACCAUACGAAUAAGGACCGGCUAAUUACGUGCCAGCAGCCGCGGUAAUACGUAAGGUCCGAGCGUUGUCCGGAAUCAUUGGGCGUAAAG